ensembl:lncRNA
ACUGAAUUGGUUUAAUAACAGUAUUUCAUUACGGUUACACUUGAAUUGGUUACAAAAUAGAUGAAAGAUGAUAAAACAUAUAGCCUAAUUAAUGUUAAUGUAAUGUUUAAUACAUCACACAAUUAGCCAACAGGUUAAUUUUCUGGCCAAAACCACAUUUUGUUAAAUAAAUACAAACUCUACAUUUCAAAAUGCUGUAUACCUUUUUCUACAUAUGUACGGUAUCUCUAUCAAAACACAGCAAACCUGAAUCGAAUCGAAUCGAAUCGAGUAAUUCAGUCAAAACAUUAGCACUAGAUAGUCAAUCAUAGCACAGUGACUGUCAAAAUACUAACAGUUGUUAACUUUACAAAAACUGCUUCUUGUCAUGUUUCAGUUCUAGACAAUAUAAAAAUCCAUUGUUUUCUGUAAUUUGGUUACCUUCAACUGAAACCCAUUUUACAUUUUUAAGUGUUUACAGUUUUUCAUGAUUGCUUAAGCACAAUUUUGAAAACAGGGCCCGGUUUGUUAAAACACUACACACAAUUAACACAACCCUACACCAAAGUAGCACAACACUUUAGAUCAUUUGCAAAAUGGAACACUUUUGUCAAAACUAUACACAACUUUAUAAAAACAAUAUUUUGUUACCAUACGAAACACACACAUUUCAUAUAACUUUAAUCUUUUUGAACCAGUUACACACUGCUGUUGCUAACCUAAAACACUUUUAGCAAGUCUAAUUCUCAGUGAUUAGAGUACUGUAAAUGAAGUACACAGAGAAAGUGCAACUAUACAAUAGUUCACCAAACGCUACACAAGACCAAUGCUGCAGACUGAGGAAAAUAUCAUUGAUUUCUCUCCAUAUACCCAAAUCAGUCAACAUGGAGUAUCACAACAAAACAUGUCCCAGUUGUCAUGCUACUACAGUAGUGUGCAUAACACUGUUAGCUCAGCAAACAACAGACAAACGUAAAAUACUGUAUUCAGUACAGGUUACAAUUACAGUAAAUAACAAUAACAAACAUUAAAAAAAUCUGAAAAAAAUGACAAUAUUGUACAGAAAAUACUACAGUAAACAUACUAUACAUUAUCUCUUCGUCUAGCUGGAUCUGGCCAGAGAGUUUCAUCAACAUCACAAGCAAUAUCCUCAUUAGCAAGACAACGCGGGAAGAACUGUCUUGAAUGUCGAAUCCAUCCUUGCACAGCUGCGGCGUCGACUUGGUCACAGGCCUCCUCCAUUGCUUGAAUGAGGGGUAUAACAUAGGGUCAGAGAUCAUAAACCUUCCACUGCCAUGCAGAAGGGGAAAAGGAAAGGAAGGGAGAGUGUUGUGGGAGGUUCUGGAAUAAUGGAACCAGACACCUAUUCUGUCCACUGGAUAGUCUGUCUAAAAAGGUAUGUGGUCGGUGUUGUAAGGACCUAUUUUGGCAUGGCAGUGGAGGACCCCAUUCUGUGUUAUUGCAGCAUAUAUUGUGAUGUUACCACCACACUGACCCGGGACAUUCAAAAGAGCUCUCUGGCCAAAGAUGUUUCUCCCUUUUCCUCUUCCUAUACCACUGCCUUUCAUUUUUGUUGAAGACAAAAAAAAUUACCUGUUAACUUUUUAUAGUGCUUACACCUUGAUUGUUGAGUUUACAGUUAAGCACCUAAGUGUCUGCACACCAGAUGGAUGUGUUUGAUCAAUAGGUUCAUAUGUGUAGUAUUUUGGAAAGCAGUGUCUUGAAAUGGCAAAGAAGUGACAUAAUGUUAGAUUUCUGUGUCUAAUGUAGAGAAGUGUGUUUAGUUUUUGCAAAACAAUGUGUGUAAUGUUUUGCAAAUAGUGCGAAGCUGACAGUGUGCUUACAGUUGUGCAAAUCUAGCCUUGUGUUUUGCUCCUUGAGUGUAAGGUUUUGCUAAUUGUGGGAAAAGUUUAAUUUUAGUGUGUAAGCAAUUGUAAAAAAAUGUAAUUUGUUAAUUCUUAGCAACAUACUGCCUAAAACGGAAUGAGUGACUACUUUAUAAAAUGUACAAUAGAAAAAAUAGGGUCCCCUAUGUAGAAAUUUAGUCAGAACCUUGAAACCUUGAAAUUGCUCUCCAGUGGGUAGGGGUUGGAUGUGGGUGGUGCCCCAUGGAAGCUGAUGCCAGAGAUCAACAAAAAAUCCACCAUACAUGGACUUUGGUUUCUAUGCAAGCUAGUUUCUGUCACAGAAUAAAAAAAAAGUAAAAACUGUAAAUGUGACCUUUUUAUUUCACAAUUUGAACUUCUAUUCUUGGAAUUGUGAGUUUACAUCGUGCAAUUCAGACUUUAUCAAAAUGGUGAGAUAAAUUCACAAUAGCAAGAAAAAUAAAGAUUAAGAAUUGUGAGAUAAAAAAGUCACAAUUACCCUUAACCCUUUUAUAUUCCAUGGCAGAAAUAAGCUUACAUAGGUUCCGCAUGUGUAAGAGGGAAAACAAACAAACAAACGUAAAAUUGCAUAGUCCAGAUUACUCCUCUUACUUUCUCCCUUUUCUUAUCCAACUACUCCUCUAUGGGAUUAUUAUACUGCCAUGAUUCAAAACUGAAAAUAAAGUUCUGAAAGGUUGAAACUAAGUGUUCGAAAGCUCAAAAUCUUACAAAAAAAAGUUUUGCAAGAUCGAAAAAUAAGAUUUGCAAGCUUGCAAAAUGUAAAAAAAUAAAAAUCUCUCUGCAAACAUUAUGUUGUUUUUGAGAUUUCCUUCUUCAGGACUGCAACAUUUUUUUUUUACGAUGUUGCGCAAAGAAUUUUUCAGAUUUUCAAAUUUGUCAGUGUUCUCCCACUGUAUUAGUUUGUUUUCCAGGUUUGAAACCUUGUAAAUGGUGAUCUGAAAACUGGAGUGCGAAUGCACCGCCGGCCUAUCAGUGGUAAACUCAGUGGCUACUGGCAAUUGUAUAGUGAAUUCCCGCGACAAGUCGGUAGCCUUAUUUUUGGACCGGA